AGCAAGGAGACCGUGGAUAUAAAGGUGUCAGAGGUGGAAAUGAUGGUGGUGCAGGUGCUGCUAGUGGCCAUGACAUAGUUCAUUAAUUAAUAUGGCAGCCCCCCGACGUAACCAGCAUCCGAGUCCAUCAGCUCUUGGAUUCUUCUGUUGACCAUCAGAUCUUUUGGCCCCACCGGGUCCAUCAGCUCUCCUCUUCCAAUCUGAGGCAAGUUCAUUCUUAGGGGACUCAUGCCCCUCCUCCACAAAGUAAAUCAUCACUAAGGUUUCCCCUUAUCCUUGGAAAAGGGAGUUAUGACCAGAAGUGUGUUGUUUUGGCAAACCUUUUCUUUUGUCGAGUUACCUGAAAAAGACAAUCAUCAGUAUGAUAAAUAACUUGCUGAUGCUGAUGCAUUUUGAACAUAACAAAAGACACUCCAGUGUUCAAUCAUGUUUAUUUGGAUGAAGUUUCUCUAUCGCUAGUAAAAUGCCCCGUAUGCUAUUUUGACUAGAAGUUUUCGUCCAUUAGGUCGGUUCAAAAGAUUAUGAUGCAAUUACUAUGAUUUGUCCUGUGUGUGAUGAAAGCUUAGGGGAGGAUGCAAUCAGGAUGGUGAAGAACUCAAGCUUCCCAAUCUCACAAAUGUGGAUUUGGAAGCCUCGAAAAAAAAAACGGCAUCUCACAUAUUCAUUGCGCAUUGCAUCAUAAGAAAGAUGCUUCCUGGGAACACAACAAACACGAACCAAUGCCUGAUUCAAUUUCGCCUGCGUUUAGGGACAAUGUGUAUCUUCCAAGCUUGAAUUAUAUUCUCUCAGAUGAAGAAGAUACAAUCAGAAAUGCCUCAGAUGUUGUCGUUGAAAAUGACACAUCCAUUGCAAAAAGGUAUGGUCCUUUGAAGUCUAUAUGUUAUAAUGGUGAUAUGCUGGUAUGAAUAAAAAGAACAAAGUUGGGGAACUCAUAAAUAUAAACUAAACUCAUUAAAGGAACAUGAUUAAAAAUUUAACAUUUUUUCCUUUGCAGUCUUCGCAAAUCUCUUGUUCUUAGAUAUGUUAUAAAUAUAAACUAAACUCAUAAGUGAAUUAGUCUAUCUGAAUUUAAUAUCAUUGUUCUCUUCAUUAAAUUAAAACUGCUUCAUGUGGUAAGGAAAAUUAUGCAGCUGAUGGUGUUAGCAACUUACCAUAGAUUUCCAAAUAUUUUGCUUUUUCGAAUUUUCAUAUAUAUAAUGUUCUUUCCAUUUUAAGGUUACAUUGAAAGAUACGAGAGGUGUGUUAUUAAGGUUACAUUGAAACAUACAAGAGGUGGAUGUAUGUGUGAUAUCAUACCCUCAUUUUCCCAAAAAAAAUUCUUGCAAAAUUAUAUCUUAAAUUUGAUUAAGGGAGUCACAUAUUGCAUGCCAAUACACACAUGUACUGAUACCCACUUCAAUAGCCUGUAUUUGUUGACUUGAGAUACAAAUCUGUUGGUUUCUCUAAAUCUCAUGAUCUAAGUCUAGCUUUGCACUUACCUACUAUGAUUCUAAUUACGAUAUUACUAUAUUGACAGUAUAAAGGAACAUGUAGCAAGAGAUUUACUCAUUAAUUUAUCAUUAUUUUCUUUCUGAAUAUAAAAACUUUCAUUCCAAACCUUGAAUUUUGUAAUGUUCUGUGGCAUUCCCACUAUUGCCAGAUUUUCUCAGGAAUUGCUAGACAGGCAUACAUAUGCGAGAAACUGCUUUAUUAAUUAUAUCUUUAGAUAGUUGUGACGAUGCUUGUAAAAAGAGGCAUUGCGUUUUUUUUUUCUUUUCUUUCUGUUGCAAUACCAACAGAAAAAUAUUUACUUUUUCUUCAUGUGUGAGAUACAGAAAUUAGCUUCUCAGAUUUUAUGAAGGACUAAAAUGAGAUAUUUCCUAUUUGUUCAUUCUUGCUAGUUUAUUUUUUC